ACUCCUACGGGAGGCAGCAGUGGGAAUAUUGCACAAUGGGCGCAAGCCUGAUGCAGCCAUGCCGCGUGUGUGAAGAAGGCCUUCGGGUUGUAAAGCACUUUCAGUUGUGAGGAAAGGUUAGUCGCUAAUAUCGGCUAGCUGUGACGUUAGCAACAGAAGAAGCACCGGCUAACUCCGUGCCAGCAGCCGCGGGUAAUACGGAGGGUGCGAGCGUUAAGUCGGAAUUAACUGGGCGUAAAGCGUGCGCAGGCGGUCUGUUAAGCGAGAUGUGAAAGCCCCGGGCUCAACCUGGGAACUGCAUUUCGAACUGGCAGACUAGGAGUCUUGUAGAGGGGGGUAGAAUUCCAGGUGUAGCGGUGAAAUGCGUAGAGAUCCUGGAGGAAUACCGGUGGCGAAGGCGGCCCCCUGGACAAAGACUGACGCUCAGGCACG
rnacentral:rRNA from 1 species